rnacentral:misc_RNA from 1 species
GAUGAAGAACGCAGCGAAAUGCGAUACUUGGUGUGAAUUGCAGAAUCCCGUGAACCAUCGAGUCUUUGAACGCAAGUUGCGCCCGAAGCCAUUAGGCCGAGGGCACGCCUGCCUGGGCGUCACACGUCGUUGCCCCCCCCCAUCUACUCCUUCGGGAUUGCGGGGGGCGGAUGAUGGCCUCCCGUGUGCCUCGCCGCGCGGUUGGCAUAAAUGCCAAGUCCUCGGCGACGCACGCCACGACAAUCGGUGGUUGCGAAACCUCGGUUGCCCGUCGUGUGCGGUCGUCGCGCAUCGAGGGCUCGAAAAAAUUGCCGAGUUCCGGCUCGGCUUUCAACGCGACCCCAGGUCAGGCGGGGUUACCCGCUGAAUUUAAGCAUAUCAAUAAGCGGAGGA